rnacentral:rRNA from 1 species
AGGACAAACGCUGGCGGGGUGCGUGAGACAUGCAAGUCGGACGGGGUUUCACGGGGCUUGCUCUGUGAAACCUAGUGGCGGACGGCUGAGUAACGCGUAGGUGACCUGCCCGGAAGUGGGGAAUAACUGCCCGAAAGGGUGGCUAAUACCGCAUGUGGUCGUCGAAUCAGUUCGCCGACUAAAGGAGCAGUCCGCUUCCGGAGGGGCCUGCGUCCGAUUAGCUAGUUGGUGAGGUAACGGCCCACCAAGGCGACGAUCGGUAGCUGGUCUGAGAGGAUGAUCAGCCAGACUGGGACUGAGAACGGCCCAGACUCCUACGGGAGGCAGCAGUCGGGAAUUUUGCCCAAUGGACGAAAGUCUGAGGCAGCAACUCCGCGUGAGGGAUGAAGGCCUUCGGGUCGUAAACCUCUUUCUCAGGGAAGAUACAAGACGGUACCUGAGGAAUAAGCCACGGCUAACUACGUGCCAGCAGCCGC